UACAGAGGUCUCAAGCGUUGUUCGGAUUCACUGGGCGUAAAGGGUGCGUAGGUGGCAUGGUAAGUUUGAUGUGAAAGCUCAGGGCUCAACCCUGAAAUGGCAUUGAAUACUACUGUGCUGGAGGUUUGGAGGGGGGACUGGAAUUCUUGGUGUAGCAGUGAAAUGCGUAGAUAUCAAGAGGAACACCAGUGGCGAAGGCGAGUCCCUGGACAACACCUGACACUGAGGCACGAAAGCUAGGGGAGCAAACAGG
rnacentral:rRNA from 1 species